AAUAAUUUGCACAUGAAGAUUUCAUCUAAUGAGAUACCACCCAGGCAAAGCUUUAGUGGAGCAAUCAACAUUUGAGUCAAAUGCUUGUCUGGUCUUUCUUUAAAUUGCCAGUGUAACAGACACUCAUCUAAAACCAACAUGAUUUUUUACAUGAUUAACUCGGUUGGACCAAAAUUUCAAAAAAAAAUAUAUAUAUAUGCAGUACAAUCAAGGCCUAGGAUAAUUAUCCUCUUAUUAAAAAAACCUUUAAAAAAAAUUCAAAAGGUGAUGUAUGUAUGCAGAUAAAUGACUGGAUGAUACAAGAUGUAGAACCAAGCAUAAGCCAACCAAGUGGGCAACACAUCUUAGGGACUUACUACACAAAUAUUGUCUAGCCAUGCACAUAUAACAAAUAAUAUAUAGGUAAACAUAACACACAAUGCACUUAGUAUACACAUGCUAGAACAAUAAUAAAAAUCAAUUCAAAAACAUUAUUUUCACAAAAUAAAGUCAAUAUUUUUACCAUUAACUAAUACAAUUUGCAAAGGGUCCAAUCAUUCUUUAUUCUUUAUCUUCAAUAUCACUAUAUACUAAAACAGGAGACACUUUUCCUGUUCUUAAGCACAACAAAAAGACUAUUUUGUCCCUUUUUAACUUCUACCAUUAACCACCCUCUCGUUAUCCUUUGCCCAGCAAAGUAACCCAGAGAGUGCUUAAUUUGGCACGUUACAGGAUGCACAGAGUAGAAGAAGUUAGGAGGCUAGUUUUACUAUAACA
rnacentral:misc_RNA from 1 species